UUUAGUUUGGGCGUAGUCCCCGAGAUAUUUUCAGAGCUCGGAGAUUGGACUUUGGAGCGGGGUGGGAUACAACUGGAGGGAGGUUUUUAAAGCUAUGGCCCAAUUUCCAGACUAGAAAAAUAAAUAAAUAAAUAAAUAAAUAAAUGUGAAGCGUAACUUACGAGCCGUGUAGGGUUCUGUUUCCAGCGUGGGACAAAUACAGCAAAGGGACAGAGUACUCUUUGUAUUUACCCUCAUUGUGUUUUCCCUCUGCCCCGGGCAGUAUGGAGCAUUUGCAUUGGAUGCAGCUCCAAUGUGCUUUUACAGGGCCAAGAUGCAUGG
rnacentral:lncRNA from 1 species